rnacentral:lncRNA from 1 species
CCUGGAUACCCGUCCACCCACCCUAGGGUCUUGGGGUCCAAAGUAGGUACUCGAAACACAAGUGGGAUUUUGUUCAGGCAGGGCCCUUUGCCAACAGGCUGCAGUUGGGGGGAUGGAAAGGAGACGGACCCUUCCCCCCCUCCCCCCUUGCCACAAGUCACCUGCCUCGAAACUCCUCCAACCCAGUGUGACAACUGGAGGUGGGUGGAGGCAGGGAAAGGUCAUGGCCGGGACAGGAGGUCAAGGCGCCUUUCCCUCACCUCUACCCCCGUUUUCUGGCAGACGCCCAGACCUCGAUGCUUCCGACGACGACGGAUAGAGGACAAAACUCACCAGAUCCCGGGGAAUCGCCUGACCGCGCUGAACGCGCACCUGGCAGCGGAAACCCGGGUUAGAGAUCAGGUUCAGAGCGAGCGGGGCCCGAGCCGCCAGGUCCCGGGACACACAGACACGCACGAGGCCGGACAGACGGACGGACAACGCCAGCGGCGAGCGCGGGCGCGGCUUACCGCGGGGCGCAGGGUCCGACGAGUCUCCGGGAGGCAGCGAGCAGGCUCUACAUCCCAGGCGCGAUCGGGCGGGCGGCGUCCCGGGCGGGGAGAGGGGAGUCCCGGCGCCCCCUCCCCGCGAACUCGGCGGGCCGGCCCCGCCCCCCCCUCCCCGGCUGUCUGUGGGUCUGUCCGUCGGUCCCCGGGUCUCCCGGUCUCCCGGCUGUCCCGCGCCGCUCCCCGCGGGCUGCCCAACUUUCAGCGCUGCCCUGUGCCGCGCCCUCGGCGCCGCCUCGGCUUCAGCAUCGUCGGGCCCCGGGUCCCGGACACACAGACACGCACGAGGCCGGACAGACGGACGGACAACGCCAGCGGCGAGCGCGGGCGCGGCUUACCGCGGGGCGCAGGGUCCGACGAGUCUCCGGGAGGCAGCGAGCAGGCUCUACAUCCCAGGCGCGAUCGGGCGGGCGGCGUCCCGGGCGGGGAGAGGGGAGUCCCGGCGCCCCCUCCCCGCGAACUCGGCGGGCCGGCCCCGCCCCUCCCCGGCUGUCUGUGGGUCUGUCCGUCGGUCCCCGGGUCUCCCGGUCUCCCGGCUGUCCCGCGCCGCUCCCCGCGGGCUGCCCAACUUUUCAGCGCUGCCCUGUGCCGCGCCCUCGGCGCCGCCUCGGCUUCAGCAUCGUCGGGCCCCGGGGCCGGGGCUCAGAGCGCAGGGGUCCGGGGACCCAUGGCGCUGGCGUCCCCCGCGCCCCCGCCUCGGGCGCCUUCCCUUCGCCGCCCCCACCGUUCUCUCGCUGUCCCCUCCGCGCAGUCGCCCGCCUUGCGCUCCGAUCCCUGCCCCGCGGCGCUGGCCUCCAGCCCCUAG